ensembl:lncRNA novel transcript, antisense to C7orf33 and CNTNAP2
CUCUUUCUCUGUGAAUUUCUUGAGAGCACAGACUACAUUCUGCUUAACUUUUUAUCCCCAGCUUUCAGCACAGUGCCUGGCUGCUUUGGCGUCUCCAAGUACCUGACCUCAGCUCAACCUGUCUUGGGUUUUCUUCUCCUCCCUGACAUUGACAACCCAGCCCUCCUAGGCACAGAGAGAUGGAGCUGAGUGUGGUUUUCCUGAAAUAAAGCUUGCAUUAUGAGAGGGAAUAAACAGUGUCUGAGGCGCAUGGCCCCGGGAGAGGAGGAGAAUGGGACGGUGGUUCAGAUCUGCUGAUGUAGCUGUGGUCAGUCACUGGGGAGAAUAGGCCUGUGGAUUUCUGCUCCUCUGAGAUGGAUCCAUCACUGACUACUGAACUUGUUUUCUCAUUGGCUCAACUUAAGAAGGUUCUAGAGGGGCUGUUCUGCUUGCUGGAUUGGAAAUGAUUUUAGCCCCUCAUGCCAGGAAGAAAACAUAGGCAGAUUUCUCACCAGCUAAAAA